UACGUAGGGUGCAAGCGUUAAUCGGAAUUACUGGGCGUAAAGCGUGCGCAGGCGGUUAUGCAAGACAGAUGUGAAAUCCCCGGGCUCAACCUGGGAACUGCAUUUGUGACUGCAUGGCUAGAGUACGGUAGAGGGGGAUGGAAUUCCGCGUGUAGCAGUGAAAUGCGUAGAGAUGCGGAGGAACACCGAUGGCGAAGGCAGCCCCCUGGGCUGACACUGACGCUCAGGCACGAAAGCGUGGGGAGCAAACAGG
rnacentral:rRNA from 1 species